rnacentral:rRNA from 1 species
CAAAUGACUCUCGGCAAUGGAUAUCUCGGCUCUUGCAUCGAUGAAGAACGUAGUGAAAUGCGAUACUUGGUGUGAAUUGCAGAAUCUCGUGAACCAUUGAGUCUUUGAACGCAAGUCGUGCUCGAGGCCUUAUGGUCGAGGGCACGCCUGCUUGGGCGUCAUGG